rnacentral:rRNA from 1 species
AGAUUGAACGCUGGCGGCAUGCUUUACACAUGCAAGUCGAACGGUAACAGGCCGCAAGGUGCUGACGAGUGGCGAACGGGUGAGUAAUGUAUCGGAACGUGCCCAGUCGUGGGGGAUAACGCAGCGAAAGCUGCGCUAAUACCGCAUACGAUCUAUGGAUGAAAGCGGGGGACCGUAAGGCCUCGCGCGAUUGGAGCGGCCGAUAUCAGAUUAGGUAGUUGGUGGGGUAAAGGCUCACCAAGCCAACGAUCUGUAGCUGGUCUGAGAGGACGACCAGCCACACUGGGACUGAGACACGGCCCAGACUCCUACGGGAGGCAGCAGUGGGAAUUUUGGACAAUGGGGGAAACCCUGAUCCAGCCAUCCCGCGUGUGCGAUGAAGGCCUUCGGUGUAAAGCACUUUUGGCAGGAGAAACGGCGUCCCCGUAAUACGGGCGUUCGACUGACGGUACCUGCAGAAUAAGCACCGGCUAACUACGUGACCAGCAGCCG